AAGCUCUGGUCAGCACAUAUAUUAAAACUGGAAUGAUACAUAGAUGAUUAACAUAGCCUCUGUGCAAGGCUGGUAUAUAAAUUUGUGAAGCGUUCCGUAUUUUU